UCAUGCUAACUGAGCAUCAGCGGCGAACGUCUCAAGUUAGUUCGACUUCUGUCUUUGACGAUUAGGACGCACUAGUUUGAAGUUGACUUUCUCCUUCUUUUUUUUUUGCUUUUUAUUGAUCGCUCUUGUAGGUCAAACGUAGAAGGAUAUGUUCUUGUUUGGCAAGACGAUCCAUCUAUGACGAAGGAAAUCAUAGGGUCGAGCUGGACUGAAUUAAUUUAGUAUUUUGGUUUUGGUUUUUUCGAUAUUUCGGUAUAAUUCGAUAUUAAAUUUUCGGUAUAACGGUACGGUCCUCGAUAUUAAGAUCUUGAAAUUUCGGUAUACCGAAAUACCGAAUUUUUAAAGAAUUUCAUAUGCUUCCUACACUGCCCUAGCCCAACCCAAAAUUUUAAUGUUUGUAUCUCUACUCUCUAAUCCAAUAAGACUAGGCCCAACUUCCUUACUCUUUUUCCCUAGUUUCACUAUAAGAAUUAGUAAUUAGAAUUAGGUUUCCCUAGUGAAUACUGAAGUACUGAACAGAUCGGCUGUGAUAACUGAGAAACCUAAUUAGAUCUGUGACUAUGGUCUGGCCGUCUGGGAGUGCGAUAGAGACAACGUCACGACGACUUUAUGACCUCGACGCCGACGACUCUCAAGUGUGACUGCUAGUUUCCUCAUUUUUUACCUUCAUUCUUCAAUCUUCAACUCUUCAACAGAUGGCAGAUGAAAGUAGAGUAAGUGAUUCCGGUUUAACAGAGGAUGAGCAUUUGAGAAAAAUGCUGAGCAGAUGCAAGAAAAGUUCAAGAAGUAUUGGGGUGAGCCUGAAAAGUUGAAUAAAAUAAAUUUCAUUGCUUCCGUCUUGGAUCCACGUAACAAAUUUGAAUAUGCUAGCCUUGAACUUGAAGAACUUUUUGGGGAGGAAAAAGGGAAGAAAAUAAAUGUUGAGGUGUAUGCUUAUAUGAAUUCUUUGUUUGAAGAGUAUCUAAAAAGUAUUCAACUGGGUCUUGUCCUCAAUCUCCAUCUAGUUUUACUUCAUCUAAUAACACAUCUAAUAUAUCUAGUAGGAGUGUUAUAACUGCAUCAUUAAUAAAGACGAAGCUUUACUUGAAGAAACAAAAGGAAGACAAUGGAAGUGGGGGUGCAAAAUCAGAGUAGGAUAAAUACAUUAGUAAAGAACAAGAGCCUUUUAGUGAAGAAUUUGAUAUCUUAAGUUGGUGGAAAACACAUGCUCCUAGAUUUUCUAUUCUUUCGGAGUUGGCUCGUGAUAUGUUAGCCAUUCCAAUUUCUAGUGUGGCGUCGGAAUGUGCAUUUAGCACCGGUGGCCGUAUUCUUGAUUUAUUUAGGAGUUCAUUGACUCCUAAACGUGUGCAAGCUCUUGUUUGUGUUCAAGAUUGGCUUAGAGAAGAGAAGAAUCCUAUUAGUGUUGAAGAAAACUGGGAGUAUCUUGAGGAACUCGAGCUUGGUUCAAGUGCAAUCAUGCCCCGUGCUCCUAAGUACGCUCUCAUAUUUGGGAACACUUUGAGGUGAUAGAAGAUAACAGAGAAGUUCGCAAAGUAGAGUGUAAGCAUUGUGGUCGAGUCUAUAAUGUUCAUCCAAAGAGGGAUGGCACAUAUUGUUUAAGAAAGCAUAUUAGGCGUUGUCUUGAGCGUCUUCCUGAAAUUUGAAUUUAAGAAUUAAGACUAAGUUGAUUCGAGACUAUUAGUGUAAACUUGAAUUGAAGGAUGCCCCUUAUGUUUUUGUUGCACUAUGUUUAAUUCUGCUACUACUUGUUAGUGGUUGUUACUAUCUUAGCUUGCUGUGAUAUUUAUUUACUC